rfam:Danio rerio chromosome 15, GRCz11 reference primary assembly.
CUUUCGAUAGCUCAGUUGGUAGAGCGGAGGACUAUAGCUGGGAUGUUGGCAAUCCUUAGGUCGCUGGUUCGACUCCGGCUCGAAGGA